GCGUCUGUAGCUCAGCUGGAUAGAGUAUUUGACUACGAAUCAAAGGGUCAGAGGUUCGAAUCCUCUCAGACGCG
rnacentral:tRNA from 1 species